rnacentral:rRNA from 2 species
GGUCAAGCUAAUAAGGGCUAACGGUGGAUACCUAGGCACACGGAAGCGAAGAAGGACGUAGUUACCGACGAAACGCUUCGGGGAGCGGGAAGCAAGCAUUGAUCCGAAGAUAUCCGAAUGGGGCAACCCUAAACACGACCACCUGAAUACAUAGGGUGGAGCGAGCAAACCUGGUGAACUGAAACAUCUUAGUAGCCAGAGGAAAAGAAAGCAACAGCGAUUCCCCCAGUAGCGGCGAGCGAAAAGGGAACAGCCUAAACCAAGUUCUUCGGAACUUGGGGUCGUGGGACAGUGACAAAAGACUGGGAAAUUUAGACGAAGCGGCUGAAAACCGCACCAGAGAAGGUGAAAGUCCUGUAGUCGAAAAAGGAACCAGCUUAACUGCAUCCCGAGUAGCAUGGGGCACGUGAAAUCCCGUGUGAAUCUGCCUCGACCACGAGGUAAGGCUAAAUAUUCCCGUGUGACCGAUAGAGAAACAGUACCGCGAGGGAAAGGUGAAAAGAACCCCGGAAGGGGAGUGAAAUAGAACAUGAAACCGUUAGCCUACAAGCAAUGGGAGGACGAUUGAACGUCUGACCGUGUGCCUGUUGAAGAAUGAGCCGGCGACUUACAGGUUAUGGCAGGUGAAGGGGGAAGACCCCACAGCCCCAGCGAAAGCGAGUCUGAAUAGGGCGAAGCGUCAUAAUUUGUAGACCCGAACCCGGGUGAUCUAACCAUGGCCAGGAUGAAGCUUGGGUAAAACCAAGUGGAGGUCCGAACCGACUAAUGUUGAAAAAUUAGCGGAUGAGCUGUGGUUAGGGGUGAAAUGCCAAUCGAACUCGGAGCUAGCUGGUUCUCCCCGAAAUGUGUUGAGGCGCAGCGGUAGUGGAAGUUUAGUCGGGGUAAAGCACUGUUUCGCCGCGGGCUGGGAGACCGGUACCAAGGCGAGGCAAACUCUGAAUACGGCUAAAAAAACUACCAGUGAGACGGUGGGGGAUAAGCUUCAUCGUCAAGAGGGAAACAGCCCAGACCACCAGCUAAGGUCCCCAAAUGAUAACUAAGUGAGAAAGGAGGUGGGAGUGCAUGGACAACCAGGAGGUUUGCCUAGAAGCAGCAAUCCUUAAAAGAGUGCGUAAUAGCUCACUGGUCAAGCGCUCCUGCGCCGAAAAUGAACGGGGCUAAGUUAUCUACCGAAGCUGUGGACUACAUUGUAGUGGUAGGGGAGCGUUCUAUAGGGGGUGAAGCAGUAGCGGCAAGCAGCUGUGGACUCUAUAGAAGUGAGAAUGUCGGCUUAAGUAGCGAAAAUGUGGGUGAGAAUCCCACACCCCGAAACCCCAAGGUUUCCUCCGCAAGGCUCGUCCGCGGAGGGUCAGUCAGGACCUAAGGCGAGGCUGAAAAGCGUAGUCGAUGGACAACGGGUUAACAUUCCCGUACCGAUUAAUGAUUGUGCCGGAGAACGGAGAAGGUCAACGUCAGCUGGAUGUUGGUUACCAGUGCAAGCAGUCGAGGCGAUGAGAGGUGGAGAAAACACCAGGAGCUAAGACGCGAGUCCCACCUCCCACGGGAGGGAAGUGGCGUUGAUCAAGCUUCCUAGAAAAGCCCGAACCACGUUAAUCAUUAAUUGCCUGUACCCGAAACCGACACAGGUGGGGAAGUAGAGAAUACUAAGGGGCGCGAGAUAACUCUCUCUAAGGAACUCGGCAAAAUGACCCCGUAACUUCGGGAGAAGGGGUACCCUCGCAAGAGGGUCGCAGUGAAUAGGCCCAGGCGACUGUUUACCAAAAACACAGGUCUCCGCCAAGUCGUAAGACGCAGUAUGGGGGCUGACGCCUGCCCAGUGCCGGAAGGUUAAGGAAGUUGGUCAGGAGUAAUCUGAAGCUGACGACCGAAGCCCCGGUGAACGGCGGCCGUAACUAUAACGGUCCUAAGGUAGCGAAAUUCCUUGUCGGGUAAGUUCCGACCCGCACGAAAGGCGUAACGAUCUGGGCACUGUCUCGGAGAGAGACUCGGCGAAAUAGGAUUGUCUGUGAAGAUACGGACUACCUGCACCUGGACAGAAAGACCCUAUGAAGCUUUACUGUAGCCUGGAAUUGGCUUCGGGCUUCGCUUGCGCAGGAUAGGUGGGAAGCUUUGAAACUCUCCUCGUGGGGAGGGUGGAGCUAACGGUGAGAUACCACUCUGGCGAGGCUAGAAUUCUAACCCUGACCCCUAAUCGGGGCGGGAGACAGUUUCAGGUGGGCAGUUUGACUGGGGCGGUCGCCUCCUAAAAGGUAACGGAGGCGCGCAAAGGUUCCCUCGGUCCCGUUGGAAAUGGGACGAUAGAGUGCAAAAGCAGAAGGGAGCUUGACUGUGAGACCCACAAGUCGAACAGGGACGAAAGUCGGCUUUAGUGAUCCGACGGCACCGCGUGGAAGGGCCGUCGCUCAACGGAUAAAAGUUACUCUAGGGAUAACAGGCUGAUCUCCCCCAAGAGUUCACAUCGACGGGGAGGUUUGGCACCUCGAUGUCGGCUCAUCGCAACCUGGGGCUGAAGUCGGUCCCAAGGGUUGGGCUGUUCGCCCAUUAAAGCGGUACGUGAGCUGGGUUCAGAACGUCGUGAGACAGUUCGGUCCAUAUCCGGUGUAGGCGUAAGAGCAUUGCGAGGAGCCUUCCUUAGUACGAGAGGACCGGGAAGGACGCACCGCUGGUGUACCUGUUAUCGUGCCAACGGUAAACGCAGGGUAGCCAUGUGCGGAGCGGAUAACCGCUGAAAGCAUCUAAGUGGGAAGCCCACCUCCAGAUGAUUGCUCUCAUGGCAUUAAGCCAGUAAGGUCUCGGGUAGACUACCCGUUGAUAGGCUCUAGAUGGAAGCUCGGUAACGAGUGCAGUCGAGGAGUACUAACCGACCGAGGGCUUGACCUG